UACGGGAGGCAGCAGUGAGGAAUAUUGGACAAUGGUCGGAAGACUGAUCCAGCCAUGCCGCGUGAAGGCUAAGGUCCUAUGGAUUGUAAACUUCUUUUGUACGAGAGGAAUAAGGAUGACGUGUCAUCCGAGGACAGUAUCGUACGAAUAAGCAUCGGCUAACUCCGUGCCAGCAGCCGCGGUAAU
rnacentral:rRNA from 1 species